ACACACGCUGCAGGAGGAACAGUCGCAGACAAACAGCUGCUGAUCUGCAGAAAGAGUCAAAUUACCUCCAAACAUCCAGAGCUGGUCUCAGUCUGAAGUGCAGCAGGCUAAUUAGAUGAAGAGUGGGUGAGACCAGCAGGCACCACAUACAAACUCACGAAAACGCAAGAGAGGAGAGAAGAGAGGGGGAGGGUGAGACCCAGAAGAAGGAGAAGAGAAGGUCUGUGAAACAUCUCCAGGACGUUUUGUGUACAGCUGAGUUUGGAGAGUUAACAAGUGGAAACAGACGUGCUCAAAGUGGAGUUACACACAUUUACUACAGAGGUGCAGUGCAGUGACGUCUCCUUCCUGAAAGCUACCAGCUGCAUUUCUGUCGAACGUCUCGGUGGGACCAACAUCUCAGAGGCAACAUGGAGGUGAAAGAGGAAGUGCUGGAUAUUCUUCAGAAGGUCUGGAUCAAACUGCAGGGACUACCAAAAGCCAGUCCUCUGGAGCUGGGAGCCUUCUUUGUGCUCAUCCUGUUUGUAGCCACGGUUCUCUUUCUGAUCGUGUUGUCCUGCGUACACUGCUGCUGCUGUGGGAAACCAAAAUACCAGGGGUCCAGGGUCCGGCCUCUACAGCCUGCCUGAGGCUGACUCAGAAAAGACUUCUCAAGAGGAAACCUUUGAAGGAGGUUCAUCAAGGGAAGGAUGGCAGGAUUUUUCUAGUUCUGGAUUCAGAAAGCCAUGCAAAUGGAAUCCACAUAAAUCAGCAGAGUGGCACAACUCAUCACGAUUCAUUUCAGACCAGGACAAUGAAACUCUGUGUGACAGCCCAGUCCAACAACAAGAGCCCUACAGUGGAGCCAUGGAUGAAAAGAGACAGUGGGAAAGCUGAUUUGUGUCACUCCACCUUUACAAAUGAGCUGGUCCGGUGCCCUGUUCACUCAUUUGGAAUGUGAAAACAUAAUAGUCAUGUUGUACAGACAUUCCUUCUUUCUUUCUCUCCCUGGUGUUUUCUUGUAAUUCCAUGUUUUCAGCAGAGACUGUGAUGCAGUGAAGACACAGCGCCCUCUGCUGGUCAGCUGUAAAGCUUCUUUUCUUUUACUGUGCCAAUACAGCCAGCGGUUAAAAAUGUAUUCUUGUUCUUACAACAUGGAAGUGUUGCUCUUGAAGGGAAGUGAUUUAUUUGUUAUUAAAUUGAAAUGCAGUACAUGUAA